rnacentral:tRNA from 1 species
GGGUGCGUCGUUCAAUGGUAGGAUGGCCGGCUCCAGACCGGCAGACGGGGGUUCGAUUCCCUCCGCACCCA